UAUCCCUACGGGGGGCAGCAGUGAGGAAUAUUGGUCAAUGGGCGCAGGCCUGAACCAGCCAAGUCGCGUGAGGGAAGACUGCCCUAUGGGUUGUAAACCUCUUUUAUAAGGGGAGAAUAAUGACUACGUGUAGUCAGAUGCCCGUACCUUAUGAAUAAGCAUCGGCUAACUCCGUGCCAGCAGCCGCGGUAAUACGGAGGAUGCGAGCGUUAUCCGGAUUUAUUGGGUUUAAAGGGUGCGUAGGCGGUAUUUUAAGUUAGUGGUAAAACUUCGGGGCUUAACCUUGUUUGGCCGUUAAAACUGGG
rnacentral:rRNA from 1 species